UACGUAGGGUGCAAGCGUUGUCCGGAAUUAUUGGGCGUAAAGAGCUCGUAGGCGGUUUGUUGCGUCGGCUGUGAAAUCCCGAGGCUCAACCUCGGGUCUGCAGUCGAUACGAGCAAACUAGAGUGUUGCAGGGGAGACUGGAAUUCCUGGUGUAGCGGUGAAAUGCGCAGAUAUCAGGAGGAACACCGGUGGCGAAGGCGGCGUCCUGGACCAACACUGACACUGAGGAGCGAAAGCCAGGGGAGCAAACGGG
rnacentral:rRNA from 1 species